rnacentral:rRNA from 1 species
ACGAGACGACGCUGGCGGGCGUGCCUAACACAUGCAAGUCGAGCGGGGUGGUUCUGAAGGGCAACCGGAGGGAUCACCUAGCGGCGAACGGGUGAGUAACGCGUGGAUAACCUACCUCAAGGUCUGGGAUAACAGCUCGAAAGGGCUGCUAAUACCGGAUGUGGUGCAUAUGCUGCAUGGUAGAUGCACUAAAGGGGAAACCCGCCAUGAGAUGGGUCCGCGUCCCAUCAGCUAGUUGGUGGGGUAAAGGCCUACCAAGGCGAUGAUGGGUAGCCGGCCUGAGAGGGUGUACGGCCACACUGGGACUGAGAUACGGCCCAGACUCCUACGGGAGGCAGCAGCUAAGAAUAUUCCGCAAUGGACGAAAGUCUGACGGAGCGACGCCGCGUGGAUGAAGAAGGCCGAAAGGUUGUAAAAUUCUUUUGUCGGGGAAGAAUAAGCGUGGGAGGGAAUGCCCGCGUGAUGACAUGAACCGGCGAAUAAGCCCCGGCUAACUACGUG